UCUUCUUUUAUGAAUGUAGUGAGAGAUAUGAAAUAUUAAGUGACGAACUGGAUGAAUGGCUAAGGCAAAACGUUGAUAAAUCUGCUGCAGAGGGGGAGAACCAAGCUGACCUGCAAUCGACAGAAGGUCGCUAUGUGUCCUCUGAAACAAUACCGGCUGUGAACUUGGGAAGUGAUGAUCCUUCCUCUCAAGGACGC